rnacentral:rRNA from 1 species
AGAAUCAACGCUGGCGGCGUGCCUAACACAUGCAAGUCGAACGCGGUUAUCCAGCAAUGGAUGACUGAGUGGCGAACGGGUGAGUAACACGUGGGUGACCUACCUUCGAGUGGGGGAUAACGUCCCGAAAGGGACGCUAAUACCGCAUAACAUCCUGCCUUUGAACAGGUGGAGAUCAAAGCCGGGGAUCGUAAGACCUGGCGUUUGAAGAGGGGCCCGCGUCCGAUUAGCUAGUUGGUGAGGUAACGGCCCACCAAGGCGACGAUC